GACGAACGCUGGCGGCGUGCUUAACACAUGCAAGUCGAACGGAAAGGCCCUGCUUUUGUGGGGUGCUCGAGUGGCGAACGGGUGAGUAACACGUGAGUAACCUGCCCUUGACUCUGGGAUAACUUCAGGAAACUGGGGCUAAUACCGGAUAGGAGCUCCUGCUGCAUGGUGGGGGUUGGAAAGUUUCGGCGGUUGGGGAUGGACUCGCGGCUUAUCAGCUUGUUGGUGGGGUAGUGGCUUACCAAGGCUUUGACGGGUAGCCGGCCUGAGAGGGUGACCGGCCACAUUGGGACUGAGAUACGGCCCAGACUCCUACGGGAGGCAGCAGUGGGGAAUAUUGCACAAUGGGCGGAAGCCUGUUGCAGCAACGCCGCGUGCGGGAUGACGGCCUUCGGGUUGUAAACCGCUUUCGCCUGUGACGAAGCGUGAGUGACGGUAAUGGGUAAAGAAGCACCGGCUAACUACGUG
rnacentral:rRNA from 1 species